ensembl:rRNA 5S_rRNA 5S ribosomal RNA
GCUUACGGCCAUACCACCCUGAGAACGAUCGGUCUCGUUUGAUCUCGGAAGCUAAGCAGGGUCGGGCCUGGUUAGUACUUGGAUGGGAGACCGCCUGGGAAUACCAGGUGCUGUAAGCU